rnacentral:rRNA from 1 species
GAUGAACGCUGGCGGCGUGCCUAAUACAUGCAAGUCGAGCGAACAGAUGAGGUGCUUGUUCCUCUGACGUUAGCGGCGAACGGGUGAGUAACACGUGGAUAACCUACCUUUAAGACUGGGACAACUUCGGGAAACCGGAGCUAAUACCGGAUAAUAUCUUUAACCGCAUGGUUUAAUAUUGAAAGAUGGUUUUGCUGCAAUUUAUAGAUAGAUCCCGUCCUAUUUAGCUAGUUGGUAAGGUAAGGGCUUACAAAGGGAACGAUCCUAAACCGCCCUGAGAGGGUGAUCGGCCACACUGGACCUGGAACCCGGCCCAGACUCCUACGGGAGGCGGCAUAAGGAAUUCUUCGGCAAUGGCGGAAAGCCUGCCGAAGAAACCCCGCGUGGUUGAUGAAGGUCUUCGGAUCGUAAAACUCUGUUAUAAGGGAAGACCAUGUGUGUAAGUAAAUAUGCACGUCUUGACGGUACCUAAGCAGAAAGCCACGGCUAACUACGUG